rnacentral:rRNA from 1 species
ACGUAGGUGGCAAGCGUUGUCCGGAAUUAUUGGGCGUAAAGCGCGCGCAGGUGGUUAUAUAAGUCUGAUGUUAAAGUUCGGGGCUCAACCCCGUGAUGGCUUGGAAACUGUAUAACUUGAGUACAGUAGAGGUAAGCGGAAUUCCCAGUGUAGCGGUGAAAUGCGUAGAUAUUGGGAGGAACACCAGUGGCGAAGGCGGCUUACUGGACUGUAACUGACGCUGAGGCGCGAAAGCCUGGGGAGCAAACAG